rnacentral:rRNA from 1 species
UACGGAGGGGGCUAGCGUUGUUCGGAAUUACUGGGCGUAAAGCGCACGUAGGCGGCUUUGUAAGUCAGGGGUGAAAUCCUGGAGCUCAACUCCAGAACUGCCUUUGAUACUGGCGAUCUCGAGUCCGGGAGAGGUGAGUGGAACUGCGAGUGUAGAGGUGAAAUUCGUAGAUAUUCGCAAGAACACCAGUGGCGAAGGCGGCUCACUGGCCCGGUACUGACGCUGAGGCGCGAAAGCGUGGGGAGCGAACAGG